UGAACGCUGGCGGUAGGCCUAACACAUGCAAGUCGAACGGCAGCACAGUAAGAGCUUGCUCUUACGGGUGGCGAGUGGCGGACGGGUGAGGAAUACAUCGGAAUCUACUUUUUCGUGGGGGAUAACGUAGGGAAACUUACGCUAAUACCGCAUACGACCUACGGGUGAAAGCAGGGGAUCUUCGGACCUUGCGCGAUUGAAUGAGCCGAUGUCGGAUUAGCUAGUUGGCGGGGUAAAGGCCCACCAAGGCGACGAUCCGUAGCUGGUCUGAGAGGAUGAUCAGCCACACUGGAACUGAGACACGGUCCAGACUCCUACGGGAGGCAGCAGUGGGGAAUAUUGGACAAUGGGCGCAAGCCUGAUCCAGCCAUACCGCGUGGGUGAAGAAGGCCUUCGGGUCGUAAAGCCCUUUUGUUGGGAAAGAAAAGCAGCAGGUUAAUACCCCGCUGUUCUGACGGUACCCAAAGAAUAAGCACCGGCUAACUUCGUG
rnacentral:rRNA from 1 species